rnacentral:rRNA from 1 species
ACGCGAGGAACCUUACCAGGUCUUGACAUCUGAAUGACCGGUGCAGAGAUGUGCCUUUCCUUCGGGACAUUCAAGACAGGUGGUGCAUGGUUGUCGUCAGCUCGUGUCGUGAGAUGUUGGGUUAAGUCCCGCAACGAGCGCAACCCUUGAUCUUAGUUGCCAGCACUUCGGGUGGGCACUCUAAGGUGACUGCCGGUGACAAACCGGAGGAAGGUGGGGAUGACGUCAAAUCAUCAUGCCCCUUAUGACCUGGGCUACACACGUACUACAAUGGCCAGUACAACGGGAAGCGAAGCCGCGAGGUGGAGCCAAUCCUAAAAAGCUGGUCUCAGUUCGGAUUGCAGGCUGCAACUCGCCUGCAUGAAGUCGGAAUUGCUAGUAAUCGCGGAUCAGCAUGCCGCGGUGAAUACGUUCCCGGGUCUUGCACACACCGCCCGU